rnacentral:rRNA from 1 species
CCCUUAGAUGUUCUGGGCCGCACGCGCGCUACACUGAUGCAUUCAACGAGUCUAAAACCUGCUCUGAUAGGGGUGGGUAAUCUUUUGAAUGUGCAUCGUGAUUGGGAUAGAUGAUUGCAAUUUUUCAUCUUCAACGAGGAAUGCCUAGUAAACGCAAGUCAUCAGCUUGCAUUGAUUACGUCCCUGCCCUUUGUACACACCGCCCGUCGCUCCUACCGAUUGAAUGAUCCGAUGAAUAUCAUGGGUUGAGGAUGCAAGCAGGUUCGCCUGUCUUCAUCUUCGAGAAGUGAAGUAAAUCUUAUCAUUUAGAGGAAGGAGAAGUCGUAACA